rnacentral:lncRNA from 1 species
AUGCAACCAUAGAGUACAAUAGAGCCGCAAAGUACUGGAGCGCCGAUGAAGCCAAUCCAUUAACGGGCCUUUCCGAGCCCCGUGUGCUCCGAAAGUGUGAACCAGGUGUGAACCCGACGGCAUUUUGUAACACGGCGCCUUAUGAGAGAAUCGCGGACUGAGGUUGGUUUUUCGACAUUUUACAAUUCAAUCAGCAUUAAUUUUUGCAAAUUUUACUAUUAAAAGGUAGUCAAAGCCAUAAUGAAUCCAUUGAUGUAUAUUACUCCUGGAUAAUAUUUAUAUAGGGAUUUAAUUUCUGACUUAUACCAAGGUGUGAACCAACCGGCAUUUCUUAUCACGGCGGCUUACGGUAAAAGCAACGACUGCCUGUGUUUUUUCGACAUUUUGUAAUUCAAUCGAUAUUAAUUUGUGCAAAUUUUGCUAUAAUUAGAUAGUCAAAGCCAUAAUGAAUCCAUUGAUGUAUAUUACGCCUGGAUAAAAUUCAUAUAGGAAUUUAAUUUCUGACUUAUACCAAGGUGUGAACCAACCGGCAUUUUUUUACACGGUGGCUUAUGGAGAAAUCAACGACUGCUUGUGUUUUUUCGACUUUUUUUAAUUCCAUCGGUAUUAAUUUGUGCAAAUUUUGCUUGAAAUAGAUAUUCAAAGCCACAAUGAAUCCAUUAAUGUAUGUUACUCCCAGAUAAUAUUCAUAUAUGGACUCAAUUUCAGACUUAUUACCGGCCUACUUAUUUUAGCUGGUUGAGUGUGUGUCUAGUCGACGAACGGAGCCGAGUCGGGACUGUCGGGAGUGGGGAGCGCUGAGCGCGAGUCUCUGCGUAUGCGUCAUCGCUAGUCGCCGCACACUAGUCUCCGGAGAACUGGACAAAACAGCCUCGAAAAGUGACUUCAUCGACGAUCCAGUACUUUGCGACUCUAUUGUACUCUAUGCAUGCAACAUCUCCAUUGAAGCUACAGCUCUGGCACCCGGAAGUUUCGGCCUCUGAGCCCGGAACGGACGAAAGAGAGGCGCAUAGCAAAGCAGGAAUGAAGUCCAAGAAAGGAGGAAUUUCUGCCCCUACAGAAGGAUGGUCUGUUGUCUUGUGUAUUUCGCUUCCCACAAAGAACGGAUAAAAAAUGUGUUGACGGUUCUUUCUACGAGUAAUUAUUUCUUUGAACUGUUUACAUAACAGUAGAAACAAGGACUCCUGUAUUCUUUCUUUGUCUUAUCUUUUAAUUUUGUGUACUACCCUUUUG